AUGGGAAACAGAAAGGCCGCACUUCCUCUUAAACCCCCACCCCCGAACUAUGCUGCAGUCAUGAGCCCAGAGGAAAAAAAAGACCAUCGACUGGAUGACUUCACCUCACUGCCAAUACGAUGUCGUCACUCAGCGGCGUGCUUUAGUCAUCAGAUGGACCAACUGAGGUCUGCAGACUAAACACAGACCGUUAUGAAUCUCCUGCUGCACUGACUGAGGCUGAAGUCACAUUAGUUGCUGAUAAAUGUGAAAUGCUAAUCACUCUCUCCGGAACGCUGGUAAAAAAAGAUUUGUCAAAAGCAAUCUCCAUUAGGAGCUCUAAAAGCAAACACAGCCUAUUCUAAGGGAUUUUAAAACUCAUUCUCAGACACAAAUGAAUGUAAAUAAUUGUGUGUACUCUGAGAAUAACUUUGAAAUCAAUGUUAAAUGCUAUUUGUGUCAUUUGUGAUGGUUAGCUAAACUAUGUUGAAAUGAAAUGAACCGUCAGACUACCUUUAUACAUU
ensembl:lncRNA